UCGUCACACUAUCAUUAACUGAAUCCAUAGGUUAAUGAGGCGAACCGGGGGAACUGAAACAUCUAAGUACCCCGAGGAAAAGAAAUCAACCGAGAUUCCCCCAGUAGCGGCGAGCGAACGGGGAGGAGCCCAGAGCCUGAAUCAGCAUGUGUGUUAGUGGAAGCGUCUGGAAAGGCGCGCGAUACAGGGUGACAGCCCCGUACACAAAAGCGCAUGUGCUGUGAGCUCGAUGAGUAGGGCGGGACACGUGGUAUCCUGUCUGAAUAUGGGGGGACCAUCCUCCAAGGCUAAAUACUCCUGACUGACCGAUAGUGAACCAGUACCGUGAGGGAAAGGCGAAAAGAACCCCGGCGAGGGGAGUGAAAAAGAACCUGAAACCGUGUACGUACAAGCAGUGGGAGCACCCUUUGGGUGUGACUGCGUACCUUUUGU
rnacentral:rRNA from 1 species